UUUUUAGAAAAGGAUAAGGAUUUAAUUCUUUGGAAUUAGUGAAAAAAGUAGAAAAUAAAAUAUUAUAUCAGAAAGAUAAUUUCGAUGGCAGAUAGGACUUUUAAUUACUUGUUCCUCCUUCCAUUUCGCCAAAUAACACAAGCAAUGGGUUUUGACAUUUCGAACGCACGAUUACACAAACAAAAUAUAUUGUGUCUCCUCUUUUGUUCUUGUAUGCUGCAAUUAUCUUAUCACUCAUUUAUUCUGCAAAAUGGAUGACAGAAUAUAUAAAUAUAACGAAAAUAUAGUAUCACUACAGUCUGUUUCACCUAGUUAGAUUUGUUCCGUUAAAUAUUGAUGAUGAGGAAAGUAUACAAGACUUGCUUCUUCAAAUAGACAACGUUAUACAAUACGGGGAAGAUGCUGACGUUAAGAUACG
rnacentral:misc_RNA from 1 species